rnacentral:lncRNA from 1 species
AUGGAGAGCACAGGAAGCGCGAUGGUGAUGAAUGAUUACAUGGAGCUAGAGCUUGUGUCAUGGGGGCCAACAGGAAGCAGAUGCCUGAAUGGUUCAGAGGGACAAAAAUCAUCCAGAAAAGCUUGGCAUGGCAACCUCUGGAAACACGGGAGAGGAAACGCUUCCAUAAAACUGCGACUGGGUGAAAUAACGUGGCCUGUGCUCCCAUUAAACUUGCUGCACUCCCUUCACCUCAGCAGUGAGCUGAGUAGACGAGUGGUGUCUUGUCUCAACACCAUCACAGGGCUUACGCACACCCACACACACUUACACCUUCUUGUUUCAUCCCUUUCCCACCUGCAGGCAGACCCUCCUCAGUGGCAUAUCUCCACCCAACUCUGCAACAAGCUAGCAUGUGUAUAAAUCAAACGUACAGCUGGAAAACUUUGGUUUGUUUCCCAUGAUCCAGGAAAAGUCUCCUUUGAAUGUGUCUCUUUGUAAUUACUCUCUCUUUGUUUACCUUUAAGCUUAAUUUCCCCCCUUUCCUCUAUUAUUUGCAUUUUCCAUCAUAUUUUUAUCCGCUCAUUUCCCCCCCAAGUACCCCCCCCUCAUCUUUUAAAGUUUUUUUACCUACCAACCGCUAACAUAAUUCUACCCUCUAAAGAGUAAGUGGGGUAUAAAUCAGCCCCAGGGGCAAGUGGACGCCUGCCAGCCGUGAGGAGAUCCAGGCAGGAAUGUGAUCCCUGAUGCAGCCCAGAAAAGAUUUAAAUCCUGGCAUAAAGAAACCGAGCUUUACGCAAAGCCCCUUCCCUCGGCCUCUACAACUCCUCUGCAGCGAUGCGGCUGACAGGACGGGUUGUUGGAGAGAAGCCCUUUCCUUUCCUUUUGUUUUGUUUUCAUCCCAGAUUUACACGAGGACGGGGGGGAGAGCUGUAACUUAGAGGUCGUGGGAGGAAGUCUGAUUCUAAGUGAUGAGCCUGAAAGCCCACUGGGCGCAUUAUGCCAUGAAACUCCAGCUACAGAGCGUGUGUCCUGAGACUUUUACUGGCCGACUGCUCGGGUGAGCAAGCAGGAUAAUGAGAGUAGCAUGUGGGAUUCAGAUAUGCGUUGAUGCCCCGGCAGGCUGAGGCGUGAUGACGGGUCGGCUCCUAAAGACCAUGUUAGCUGAGAAACUUGUUAUUUCUGAAUUAUGAUUGGUCACUCUAGAGCAGGGGUCGCCCACCUUUGUGAAGCUGAGAUCUGAGCCAUACAAAGGGCUACCAGGUUGAAACACCGUUUUGUCAAGUGGACGACCUUUGACCUAGAGUAGGUUUGACUUUAACUAAACUUCAUGUAUAAUUAACAUAUUUUCAGCCUUUUUAAACAAUAUUAUUUACAAAUGAAUGUCAAUGCAAGUGUGAUAAAAGCAUGUGUUUCUCUUUGGGCUCGACCUCCCAGGGGUCGCCGCAGCCAAUCAUUUGUUUCUAUUUAGUUUGAUCUUCUGCUGCGUCCUCUAGCCUCACACCAACUAACUUCAUGUCCUUCACAUUUUUGGUCUUCCUCUCAGCCUCCUGUCUGACUCAGCGUCCUUCUAUGUAAUCGUUUUCCCUCCUCUGGAAAUCAUCACACUCUGUCCUCUCUGAAUAUAUCUCCAAAACAUCUAACGUCUGGUUGCUCAUGCACAGACAACACGGCUGCUCUCUCUCGUAGACCCUACGUCCUUAAAGUCCUCUGCCAUCUUUACUCCUACUCCAUGUGACAUCACCAUUCCACUUGUGUCCCUGUCUUUACGCAUAUGGAUGCUGUCUUCAUUCCUCUCUUUGCAGGACAUAUCUCCACCCCUCUAGCUCCUCCUCUACCUGCACCCUUCUCUCACUGCAGAUCAUCUGCAAACAUCACAGUCCAUGGAGCCUUCUGUCUGACAUCAUCUGUCAGCCUGUCCACCACCAAAGCCAACUAGAAGGUGCUUAGAGCUGAUCCUUGAUGAACUCCUCCGUCACUCCUGCACCGCACCUCACUGCGGUCUCACAGCUCUCAUGUUCUGCAACACUCUAGCAUUCUGCCACUCCAGACCUUCUCAUGCACCACAGCCUCUCUCUCAGCACUCUGUCGUAUGCUUUCUCUAAAUCUACAGAGGCACAAUGCAGCUCCCCCUGACCUUCUAUGUUCUUCUCUAUCAGCACCCUUAAAGCAAAUUUAGCAUCUGUAGAAUUCUUUCCGGGCAUGACACCAUACUGCUGCUCACAAAUACUUCUGACCCAAGCCUAGCUUCCACCACUCUUUUAAAGAGUGUCAAAAUAAGAUCCAUUAGCUUUAUUCCUCUGUAGUUCCCGCAGUUUCGUGCGUCAUCUCUGCUGCCAUGUUGUUAAUCACAUGAAAAUGCCUGAUGGCAUCUCAUAGGGUUCCUGGGGGCACCAGGUUUGUGAGUGAGUUUCACAUGCAGGCUAAAUGUGAAAAUGGUCUUCUACCCUUAUUUCCCGCGUUCUGCUCUACGUCGCAUUGCUAAGUUUGCAUUCAUGUACUCGCACAUCUUGGCUCGUAAACGGGAAGGCUGUUGCUGAUUUAGCGUCCAGAAGACAGAAUAGCUCGUCUCAGCUAGUAGAAGCUAACAAUUAGCAUUAGCAACUCCACAACAGAGCAGAACUCCUCCAGGCGUGUGGUAUUUGUGGAGACAAAACAUCAACGUUGCAAAGCAAAUGGAGGCAGUGGUAGAGUCGCGUUGCUGUUAGCGAAUCAGAAGUGAGAUGUUUCACAUUCAAAACCUACCAUCUUCUGCUCAACUCUCCUCUGGCUCACUUGUACUUCCUGAAACAGGAGCACCAGAGCUUUUUUCCCCCACAGAAAUCCUCUCACAAGGCAUUCAUUUAUACUAGAGACCACUGCACAUGUCUUGAAAAGAACGAGUGAACUUAGUCUUUAAACGACUCAAUGAGGGAGUCAAAUAAACUCUUGAAUUCACCACUCGCAGCUUUUCCUCCCUUUUUUCCCAUGAAGAGUUUGAGCCACACUAAUGAAAAAUGUCACUGCGCCCUUCCGAACGCAUGGCUUUAAUAAAAGUUGGUCAGGACGGAACAUGACGACCACUGAGAUUUACAGCUCAGCCUUCUGAGGUGGAGAAGAACUGAGGGAACUUUGGUGAUAAAACCGUUUGAAAAGUGGGUGCUGAGCAUUUAAAUAUGUGGCGUGCACUUUACAGCCAGGGUCGCCUCAGUCGUUUCACCACUUACUGAUGAAAACUUACAGCUGUUUGUAAUCGUGUCAGCUGACAUGUCACCACCAUUACAUGUUUACCGUGUUCUGCUUCCACCGAAACUGUGUCGUUUUCUCAUUGAGCUGCUUCUCCUCCUUCUGAGCUAAGACUGAAAACAUAAAUUUACCUAAAAACAUUUCUAAUAAUGUCAACACUGUGACUCUCUAGUAACCCUUGUGCACCAUUUUUCUUACCUAAAAUGUUACAUACAGGAAUGCUGAAACACAAUUAAAUUAGAAGGAAAUUUUUCCUGUUUAACUAAUAUAAUAGAUUUAUGACUAAUAUGUUAGAAAAUCAAAAACCCCAGUGGUGGUUGAGUGAAUCAUGUGCAGAGCAAAAUAUGGUUCUUAAAACAAAAUAUUAUUAUGAUUUCAAUCAAUCAAUCAAUCAAUCAAUCAACAAACUUUAUUUAUAUAGAGCUUUUCACACCUGUCAAGGUGUUCCAAAGCCCUGAACACAACAUGAAAUUUAAAUUUACAUCCUAAAACAACAAAAUACAAACAUUAAACCACAGGAUACAGAAACACUCGCACAAAGCACUAUGCUGAAAGACCAACAAGUUCAAUUCAGUUCAAGUUUAUUUAUAUAGCCCCAAAUCACUACAAGAGUCUGUAUUUGAUAUAGCGCCUUCUAGAAUCCUGGUACCCCUCAAGGUGCUUUACAACACAAUCAGUCAUUCACCCAUUCACACACACAUUCACACACUGGUGGGGAUGAGCUACAAUGUAGCCACAGCUGCCCUGGGGCGCACUGACAGAGGCGAGGCUCCCGAGCACUGGCGCCACCGGUCCCUCCGACCACCACCAGCAGGCAAUGUGGGUUAAGUGUCUUGCCCAAGGACACAACGACAGC